rnacentral:rRNA from 1 species
GACCAAUGCCUAGUGGCGGACGGCUGAGUAACGCGUGAGUGACCUGCCCUUAAGUGGGGGACAACACCGAGAAAUUGGUGCUAAUACCGCAUAAUCUCUGCUCCUCAAUGGGAGCAGAAGAAAGGCCUUGUGCCGCUUUUGGAGGGGCUCGCGUUCUAUCAGGUAGUUGGUGAGGUAACGGCUCACCAAGCCUUCGACGGAUAGCCGGAGUGAGAGCUCGAUCGGCCAGAGGGGGACUGAGACACGGCCCCCACUCCUACGGGAGGCAGCAGCAGGGAAUCUUGCACAAUGGGCGAAAGCCUGAUGCAGCGACGCCGCGUGAGGGAAGAAGGCUCUAGGGUCGUAAACCUCUUUUCUAAGGGAAGAGCAAGGACGGUACCUUAGGAAUAAGCCACGGCUAACUACGUGCCAGCAGCCGCGGUAAUACGUAGGUGGCGAGCGUUGUCCGGAAUUACUGGGCGUAAAGGGCCUGUAGGCGGCAUGGUAAGUCCGUAGUGAAAUCUCCCGGCUUAACUGGGAGCGGUCUAUGGAUACUGCCAAGCUAGAGAUCAUCAGAGGAGAGCGGAAUUCCCGGUGUAGUGGUGAAAUGCGUAGAUAUCGGGAGGAACACCAGUGGCGAAAGCGGCUCUCUGGGGUGGUUCUGACGCUGAGGGGCGAAAGCGUGGGGAGCAAACCGGAUUAGAUACCCGGGUAGUCCACGCCCUAAACGAUGAAUGCUAAGUCUCCGGGGUAUCCACCCCCUGUGGGCUGUAGUUAACGCGUUAAGCAUUCCGCCUGGGGACUACGGCCGCAAGGCUAAAACUCAAAGGAAUUGACGGGACCCCGCACAAGCAGCG